rnacentral:sRNA from 1 species
GCCAGGCACAGUGGCGCAGGCCUGUAAUCCUAGCUGCUUGGGAGGCUGAGGCAGGAGGACUGCGAGUUCAAAGCCACCCUCAGCAAUGGCAAGGCACUAAUAAGCAACUCAGUGAGACACCCUGUCUCUA